rnacentral:miRNA from 1 species
CCGGGUGGGGCUGGGCUGGG